rnacentral:rRNA from 1 species
UGAGCAAUCUGCCCUUCUCUUCGGAAUAAGCGUGGGAAACCGCGUCUAAUGCCGAAUACGACCUCCUUUCGCAUGAUCGGAGGUGGAAAGCUCCGGCGGAGAAGGAUGAGCUCGCGGCCUAUCAGCUAGUUGGUGUGGGUAAUGGCCCACCAAGGCGACGACGGGUAGCCGGCCUGAGAGGGUGACCGGCCACACUGGGACUGAGACACGGCCCAGACUCCGUACGGGAGNAG